UACGAAGGGGGCUAGCGUUGCUCGGAAUCACUGGGCGUAAAGCGCACGUAGGCGGACUCUUAAGUCAGGGGUGAAAUCCUGGAGCUCAACUCCAGAACUGCCUUUGAUACUGAGAGCCUUGAGCUCGGGAGAGGUGAGUGGAACUGCGAGUGUAGAGGUGAAAUUCGUAGAUAUUCGCAAGAACACCAGUGGCGAAGGCGGCUCACUGGCCCGAUACUGACGCUGAGACACGAA
rnacentral:rRNA from 1 species